rnacentral:rRNA from 1 species
AACGAACGCUGGCGGCAGGCCUAACACAUGCAAGCCGAGCGAGGACUUCGGUCCUAGCGGCGGACGGGUGAGUAACGCGUGGGAACGUGCCCUUUGCUACGGAAUAGCCCCGGGAAACUGGGAGUAAUACCGUAUGCGCCCUUCGGGGGAAAGAUUUAUCGGCAAAGGAUCGGCCCGCGUUGGAUUAGGUAGUUGGUGGGGUAAUGGCCUACCAAGCCGACGAUCCAUAGCUGGUUUGAGAGGAUGAUCAGCCACACUGGGACUGAGACACGGCCCAGACUCCUACGGGAGGCAGCAGUGGGGAAUCUUAGACAAUGGGGGAAACCCUGAUCUAGCCAUGCCGCGUGAGCGAUGAAGGCCUUAGGGUUGUAAAGCUCUUUCAGUGGGGAAGAUAAUGACGGUACCCACAGAAGAAGCCCCGGCUAACUCCGUGCCAGCCGCCGCCGUAACAC